GAAAGAAAGAUAAUAACUUCAUAAGAUCUCCUAGUACGAAAGGAUCGGUAGAUGGUGAUCCUCUGUGUAGACUUUAGUUUAACAAGUAAGAAAGUAGGGCAUAGAAGAGUAGCUACGAUCAAGGAGUUAAGUAUUGAAAGCAUAUCAAAUACGAAAACCAAUGAAGCAUUAUCGAAUUCUCUCGCAUAGAGAGUGGUAUAGAGGAUGACUACCUCUUAGAUAGGCAGUAAGUGAUAUGUUUGUUAAAACCAGCUAAACUGUACUAAUGAAUACUAACUUUUAUCAU
rnacentral:ncRNA from 1 species